AACGCACAUUGCGCCCUCUGGUAUUCUGGGGGGCAUGCCUGUUCGAGCGUCAUUUCACCACUCCAGCCUCGCUGGGCCUUGGGCGCCGCUGCUCCGCCGGCGCGCCCUAAUGUCUCCGGCUGAGCCGUCCGUCUCAAAGCGUUGUGGCAACUCAAACCGCUUGUGGGACCGGGGGGCUCGUCGCCGUCAAAACACACCAUUUUACCAGGUUGACCUCGGAUCAGGUAGGGAUACCCGCUGAACUUAA
rnacentral:misc_RNA from 1 species